rnacentral:tRNA from 1 species
AGUUAACUCAGUUGAUAGAGUAUGAGACUCUUAAUCCCAGAGUCAUGGGUUUGAUCCCCACAUU